AUGACCCACGAUGCAGUAGGGUCAUUUUGCCGUGGAGACACGGUCCUGUUCUUCCCAGGGCCCUGUCCAUUCUUGCUGUGGUCUGCACAGCCCUGAGGGCCUGGCACGGCUGGCCCACAGCCUCGCUCUAUACCUGGCCCCUUGAGGAUGAAGCUUCAGCCACACUGGCCUUCCUCUGGGUCCAGGAGGGUGCCCAUCCUUCACCUGGAGCAGCCCUCACCGGGAGCACCCCUCCCUUCACCUGGAGCACCCCUCACCUGGGGCACCCCUCCCCUCACCUGGAGCACCCCCUCCGUUCACCUGGAGCACCCCCUCCCUUCACCUGGAGCACCCCUCACCUGGGGCACCCCUCACCUGGAGCACCCCUCCCUUCACCUGGAGCACCCCCUCCCUUUACCUGGAGCACCCCUCACCUGGAGCACCCCUCCCUUCACCUGGAGCAUCCCUCACCGGGAGCACCCCUCCCUUCACCUGGAGCACCCCUGCAGCGCCCCUCCCCUAGAGCACCCCUUCCUGGAACAUGUCCUCAUGCGGAGCACCCUUACCUUAGAGCACCCUUCACCUGGAGCACUCCUCUCCUGGCACCUUGCCUGGAGCACUCCCUUGCCACCUGCACCUGGGUGACUACUUGCCUCUCAGACCUUGGCUAAUGUGUUCUCCCCUAGGAGCCCUCCCUCAGGUGGACAGGGCCACAGACCCGUGUCCUCACCUCCCCAGCACCAAGGACCUUUUUUCUCAGCCUGUGUCUGCCUGUUGUCUGAUGGUGCAUUUGAUGGGCUGUUGGUUGACUGUGCCCGCUGAGGACCAGUGUGGGGCCUUCUUCCUCACCACCCUGUCCCUGGGCACUGAGCCUCCAGCUCAGUACAUCACGGAUGCAUGGCAAAUGUGGCGAAUGAGAGAGAAAGCGAUGCACCAGCAGCAUGGAAGGUGACUGGCACCAGCAGUUUGGAUCCCCUCCCGUGGUGGGAGGACCAUUGUAGAGGAUACCUUUGGAGAACAGCUCACACCCCAGAGGGAAGUGGCUUGAACAAAGAGGGCUGCUCAGCAGACUCAUCCCCCACCAGGGUCUCCUCUGGGGGAUGUGGAUCCUGCUCAGGCCCGCACCCCUCCAUUGGUCCUGGGGACUGAUAUGUGCCUGGGCUCCAGAGGGCACCUGGAGCACCCCGCACCUGGAACACCCCUCACCUGGAGAAGCCUCAUCCAGAGCACUCCAUUCCUGGAGCACCCUCAGGUGGAGCACCCUCACCUAGAGAGCCCCUCACCUUGAGGACCCUCUCACCUAGAGAGUCCCUCACCUUGAGGACCCUCUCACCUACAGAGCUCCUCUCCUGCAGAACCCCUACCGGGAGCAUGCUUCACCUGGGCCACCCCUGGCCUUGAUGCCUGAGCACUGAGCUGUCUCCCAUCUGGGUGGCUGGGAGGGCACUCUGGAGCCAUGGGGUGAGGACCAGAGGCUGUGGCACAUUUUGCCCUGAGACUUUGGAGGACUGCGAGGGGACCCACAUUGACUUCAGCUCUGCACCUGUGGUGAGACCCCCACACUGGAAGGCAGAGUGAUUGCUCCAGGGGUCACAUGGUCAUGCCACCCCCACCCGCUGCUCCUGCCCCCUGCCCAGAGCACAGCCCGAGAGCACCUGGGACCAUCCAUGUGAGGCCAUGGGCUGUAGGUGUGUUUGGCCAUCCUGGCCCCUCCACAGUCAGAAUGGGCACCCAUAGGCAUGAGAACCUCACAGCCAUGGGGGGUGACCUGAGUGCCAUGGACGGUGGGAUUUCUCUGAUGCCCUCCAGCUCUGCUCCCUGCCUGGCCUGCCCCCAUCAAGGCUGAGGAUGACUCAGGGCCCAGCCAUCACCAUAGCAACAUGCGUCGCCUAGCAAUGGCGGUCUCCCGGCAACGGUUGUCUCCUAGCAAUGGGAUAUUUUCCUGGGCCCUGGCUGGAGCCCGGUGGUUAUUUUUAGCCCCGCAGCAAAUCAGUCGGCAGCUGCAUUUUCGGCUCCUUGAAGAGCUGCAAGGUGUGGAGGGGGGUGGGUCUCUUGGCAAAGGGAGGAAAGCAUGCCCAAGAUAGGAACCUUGCUGCCGUGGGCCCGGAGGUGCAGGCCUGUGGGUGGGCGAGGCCGGAUCCUGCCUGUGCAGCGGGGCUGGUGGCUGGUGGAGGGGAGCCAGGGUUGUGCAGGCUGCCUGGGUGAGUUGGCAGCUAGGACUAUGUCCUUGGGGGGCCCCCAAGUACCCUGAGCCUCGUAGGUCAGCUGGGUGGAGGGGACGCAGGCCAGUGCUCACAGUUGCGCUAUCAGAGCGUGUUUCUGGGUGGCCCAGGGUCUGCCAAGCUCUUGGUACCCACUGCCCCUCAGUCAUGGCAGCCAUCUUCACUGUCCCAGACCUGGGACACCGAGGGAGGGGGCAGCAGGGGGGCCAGCAGAGCAGCACAUUUGGCCAAUCCCAUGCAGGGCUCAGCUGGGGACACAGGAGAGGCUGGCCUCAGGUCAGCCCACACCUCUCUCCUCGCUCUGCUCCCAGUGAACGGAGAUGCAGGCGGGCGUCUUGGCCUGCGAUCUGACCCUUCUCUCUAUGCUUCCUCCCCAUUUCCUGGGGGACUCUGUUCACUGGUGCAUCCAAACUCCCCAACUCCCUCAGGGCCAGUGGGCUGGGUGGGGCCGGCCUUACCCGCCUCCUCUUUGCAGUGGGUCAAAGGCUCUGAGGCAGAUGGAGCUUCCAGCAAACAAGGAGCCCCCAGGGCUCACCCUUUGUGGUUCCUGGUUUACUCGAAAUUCCAUCUGCCUCAGGGCCUUUGCCCCUCUGCUCCCCAGGGUUGAGGCUCCCUUCCUGUCCCCUUCCAUCAACUGCCCUCGCCCUUGGUGUUGCUCCCCCAGGGCCCCAGCCAGUCCAGCUCCUGCCCUGGCUGCGACAGCUCCUGUUCUGUGCCCGGCACUGUGGUUUCCCGUCGAGUCACUCUGUGGAGCAGCCACCUGUCCACAGCCGCCUCCCUGCCGGACAUGGGGCUGCCUGUGCCAGGCACUGCUCGGGCCUAGCUCAUGGCAAAUGCAGCAUUGGUGUCCUCCACCGACCAGGACCUGUGUCUAGUGGGGAGAACGCAACGGCCAAAGGCGGGAACCGUGUGGCAGUGACCAGGGUCUCGACUGCCCCCACCUCAGCACCCCCUCAGGCUGCAGCUCCAAGGACCCUCUGGGCAAGCCAGGAACAGAAACUAAGUCUCAGGCUUCGGGACAAGCUGUGAGGCUGACCGCCCCGCUUUGGGCUGAGGGGCCUUGUGAUACAGUGUCUGUGUUUGGCCACGGCCAGGCCGACCCCCAGGCAGGGGAGAUGAUUGUCCCAGCCUCUGCACGCUCCAGGGGCAGCCUCACGCGCCAGGCCCAAGCUUCCUGAAGCAGAACCUGAGGGAAGUUCUUCCUUUUGUCUGACUUGAGUACAUCUUGCUGCUGUCGUUCUUGUUCUGACCUGGGUGGAAAUGGAGAGAGGCCCCUUCUGGGGUUUCAGGGCACUGGAGGGUCUGGGGCUUGGGGCACUUCAGGAGGCCCCCAAACAGCACAGACAGCCGGGAUGUCACCUGAGCUUGGGGAUGGCUUCCAGGCUCUCCUCCGCCCGGCCACCCCCCACUUUGUGGGUAUUUACUGAACGCCUGCACCGUGGCAUGUCGGAUCCUGUACCCAUAGCAACUGAGGCCAGACUCGGCCUUCCAGGCCCCUCCUGUAGGCAGCAGAGCACCCACUGAUGCCAGGUGCUUUCCUGGGUGGGGCCAGGGGCUGUGAGGAGAAGGGUGUGUGUCCAGGGCUUCUCCUGUGGGUGGCUGCAUUGGCACUGGACCCCUGGAGAUGAGGCUGGGGAGGAGGCAGGGACGCCGGGGUUGAGGCAUCAACUCGGGGUCAGGCAUGUGCCCUUCCAGACCAGGUAACCCCAGGAACCCCUCCCUCCAACCACAGACACUGGUCCCUCUCUGGGGGAGGCCUGGAGGGAGGUCCAGGGCCCAGGCUGCCAGGAGGGUGUCUGGGGCUGACCCUCACGCUGCCACCAGAGGGCGCCUGGAGCCCACCGUGCUGACCCGGGGACCGCCAAGCGGCAGCGGCCGGGAGGACAGGAUGGCUGCAGCCGUCGACCCGCUUGCCUCUCCCGACCCCUGAGUAGAGGCAGCAGCCCAUCCGUGUGCCUCUCCCCACCUCUGCCAGCACCUCAUGUGCCCAGCCCCAGGCAGAGUCUACUCUUUUACC